GUUGGGUAUGGUGGCACACUCCUAUAAUCCCAGCAACUUGGGAGGCUGAGGCAGGAGGAUUGCAAGUUUGAGGCCAGCUUCAGUAACUUAGCAAGACCCUGUCUCUA
rnacentral:sRNA from 1 species